AUUGAACGCUGGCGGCAUGCCUUACACAUGCAAGUCGAACGGUAACGCGGGGCAACCUGGCGACGAGUGGCGAACGGGUGAGUAAUGCAUCGGAACGUGCCUGGUAAUGGGGGAUAACUGCUCGAAAGAGCAGCUAAUACCGCAUACGACCUGAGGGUGAAAGGGGGGGAUCGCAAGACCUCCCGUUAUCAGAGCGGCCGAUGUCGGAUUAGCUAGUUGGUGGGGUAAAGGCCCACCAAGGCGACGAUCCGUAGCUGGUCUGAGAGGACGACCAGCCACACUGGGACUGAGACACGGCCCAGACUCCUACGGGAGGCAGCAGUGGGGAAUUUUGGACAAUGGACGCAAGUCUGAUCCAGCCAUGCCGCGUGCGGGAAGAAGGCCUUCGGGUUGUAAACCGCUUUUGUCAGGGAAGAAAUCUUCUAGGCUAAUACCUUGGGAGGAUGACGGUACCUGAAGAAUAAGCACCGGCUAACUACGUG
rnacentral:rRNA from 1 species